UACACUUGCUUUGAUUUGAAAGUAGAAAAUCACAUACAUUUAUUUUUGUUUGUUCUGUCAGACAACAAGAUAACAAUAAUCUUAUAAUUAUAGUAUGCGAGAUAUCAAUGAAAUUUAACAUAGUUCCACAAAGUUUGAUAUAUAAAAUGUAAAAUAAUUAACGUGAUUUUUCAAUAUAGUCGGAAUGGAUACAGUGGUUCUGCCGGCACAGGAUAACGAAAACCAAACUCAAGCUCAUAUCAACCUAUCGUUCUAAAAUUAUGCACUAUGCUUCUUCUUUGUCCAUCACCAUUUCUCCUAAAUUUGCUCGAAAUCGGAUCGGCUCAGUUUUGAAUAAUAUGUGUGGUACCACCACAGAUUUUAAUAAUAGGAGUGGUACCACCUCAUAUUUUCACAAAUUGCCCCUGUUAGUGGAAUGUUCAUGGGCAAAAUUUGCAUUUGGAUGUUAGAAGUAAAGUCACAUUCAUUAGCUCAAAAUAAAUAUUACAUUUUUGAUGA